rnacentral:rRNA from 1 species
UGGGGAAUUUUGCACAAUGGGGGAAACCCUGAUGCAGCGACGCCGCGUGAUUUAGAAGGCCUUCGGGUUGUAAAAAUCUUUUCUAUGGGAAGAAAAUGACAGUACCAUAGGAAUAAGGACCGGCUAAUUACGUGCCAGCAGCCGCGGUAAUACGUAGGUCCCGAGCGUUGUCCGGAUUUAUUGGGCGUAAAGCGAGCGCAGGCGGUUAGAUAAGUCUGAAGUUAAAGGCAGUGGCUCAACCAUUGUAGGCUUUGGAAACUGUUUAACUUGAGUGCAGAAGGGGAGAGUGGAAUUCCAUGUGUAGCGGUGAAAUGCGUAGAUAUAUGGAGGAACACCGGUGGCGAAAGCGGCUCUCUGGUCUGUAACUGACGCUGAGGCUCGAAAGCGUGGGGAGCGAACAGG